UACAUGUGGGGCAAGCGUUGUUCGGAAUUACUGGGCAUAAAGGGUGCGUAGGUGGUCUGUUAAGUCAGUGGUGAAAUCCCCGCGGCCCAACCGUGGAACUGCCAUCGAUACUGGCGGACUUGAGUGCGUGAGGGGGUUACCGGAACGAGCAGUGUAGCGGUGAAAUGCGUAGAUAUUGCUCGGAAGGCCAGAGGCGAAGGCGGGUAACUGGCACGCAACUGACACUGAGGCACGAAAAGCGUGGGGGAGCAAAACAGG
rnacentral:rRNA from 1 species